UGCCUGUAUCUGCUUUCUGAGCUCUUCGGUCAGAAGAGGACCCCUUCCCUCAAGCUCCUUUAUUUUAAGACGAAACUUGUGGCGUUUGUUCUUGUGUCUCUGUCCUUCAUCCUGGGCCUUUGAUUGAGCCUCGCCAAGUUGAAUAGCCAGGCUUCGGUUGGCCGAAGAAAACUCCUCAUUCUUGGCCCUGAGGAGCAGGUUUUCU
rnacentral:lncRNA from 1 species